GCCCGGGUGGCGAAAUUGGUAAACGCAAGGGACUUAAAAUCCCUUGGGGGCGACCCCUUGCAGGUUCGAGUCCUGCCCCGGGCA
rfam:Gemmatimonadetes bacterium 13_2_20CM_2_65_7 13_2_20cm_2_scaffold_59, whole genome shotgun sequence.